rnacentral:rRNA from 1 species
UACGGAGGAUCCGAGCGUUAUCCGGAUUUGUUGGGUUUAAAGGGUGCGUAGGCGGUUUUAUAAGUCAGUGGUGAAAUGUUAAUGCUUAACAUUGACAGUGCCAUUGAAACUAUCUAACUUGAGUGAAGAUGAAGUUGGCGGAAUGUGUCAAGUAGCGGUGAAAUGCAUAGAUAUGACACAGAACACCGAUAGCGAAGGCAGCUGACUAAGGUUCUACUGACGCUGAAGCACGAAGGCGUGGGGAUCAAACAGG